UACGGAGGGUGCAAGCGUUAUCCGGAAUUACUGGGUUUAAAGGGUGCGUAGGCGGGUUUGUAAGUCAGGGGUGAAAGCCCUCAGCUUAACUGCUGAACUGCCUUUGAUACUGCAGAGCUUGAAAGAGGUUUAGGUCAGCGGAACGUGACAUGUAGCGGUGAAAUGCAUAUAUAUGUCACAGAACACCAAUUGCGAAGGCAGCUGGCUGGGUCUACUUUGACGCUGAGGCACGAAAGCGUGGGGAGCGAACAGG
rnacentral:rRNA from 1 species